GCCAGCAUGGCAGAGUGGUCUAAGGCAUCAGUUGUUAGUAGCUGAUGUAAGUAGAGGGGAUGCAUGGGUUCAAUUCCCAGUGGUGAUA